rnacentral:rRNA from 1 species
UACAGAGGGUGCGAGCGUUAAUCGGAAUUACUGGGCGUAAAGGGCGCGUAGGCGGUUAAUUAAGUUAGAUGUGAAAUCCCUGGGCUUAACCUAGGAACUGCAUCUGAUACUGGUUAGCUGGAGUGCGGUAGAGGGUAGUGGAAUUUCCGGUGUAGCGGUGAAAUGCGUAGAUAUCGGAAGGAACACCAGUGGCGAAGGCGGCUACCUGGACUGACACUGACGCUGAGGCGCGAAAGCUAGGGGAGCAAAC